rnacentral:rRNA from 1 species
UACGUAGGGUCCGAGCGUUGUCCGGAAUUAUUGGGCGUAAAGGGCUCGUAGGCGGUCCGUCACGUCGGGAGUGAAAACUCAGGGCUCAACCCUGAGCGUGCUUCCGAUACGGGCGGACUAGAGGUAUGCAGGGGAGAACGGAAUUCCUGGUGUAGCGGUGGAAUGCGCAGAUAUCAGGAGGAACACCGGUGGCGAAGGCGGCAUCCUGGACCGAUACUGACGCUGAGGCGCGAAAGCGUGGGGAGCAAACGGG